rnacentral:tRNA from 1 species
GAGGUUGUGGCUCAGUGGUGGAGUGCAUGCCUAGCAUGCAUAAGGUCCUGGGUUCAAUCCUCAGCACCUCU